CGCGCACACACCGCCCGUCACUCUCCCCAAGCCAAUCAAAAUAUUAUAAAUAAUGCAUAACCACCGGCAAAGGGGAGGCAAGUCGUAACAUGGUAAGUGUACCGGAAGGUGCACUUGGAAAAAU
rnacentral:rRNA from 1 species